rnacentral:rRNA from 1 species
AGUUUGAUCCUGGCUCAGGAUGAACGCUAGCUACAGGCUUAACACAUGCAAGUCGAGGGGAAACGAUAGAGAAAGCUUGCUUUUUCUAGGCGUCGACCGGCGCACGGGUGAGUAACGCGUAUCCAACCUGCCCAUCACUUGGGGAUAACCUUGCGAAAGUAAGACUAAUACCCAAUGAUAUCUCUAGAAGACAUCUGAAGGAGAUUAAAGAUUUAUCGGUGAUGGAUGGGGAUGCGUCUGAUUAGCUUGUUGGCGGGGUAACGGCCCACCAAGGCGACGAUCAGUAGGGGUUCUGAGAGGAAGGUCCCCCACAUUGGAACUGAGACACGGUCCAAACUCCUACGGGAGGCAGCAGUGAGGAAUAUUGGUCAAUGGGCGAGAGCCUGAACCAGCCAAGUAGCGUGCAGGGUGACGGCCCUAUGGGUUGUAAACUGCUUUUAUAAGGGAAUAAAGUGAGAGUCGUGACUCUUUUUGCAUGUACCUUAUGAAUAAGGACCGGCUAAUUCCGUGCCAGCAGCCGCGGUAAUACGGAAGGUCCGGGCGUUAUCCGGAUUUAUUGGGUUUAAAGGGAGCGUAGGCCGGAGAUUAAGCGUGUUGUGAAAUGUAGACGCUCAACGUCUGCACUGCAGCGCGAACUGGUUUCCUUGAGUACGCACAAAGUGGGCGGAAUUCGUGGUGUAGCGGUGAAAUGCUUAGAUAUCACGAAGAACUCCGAUUGCGAAGGCAGCUCACUGGAGCGCAACUGACGCUGAAGCUCGAAAGUGCGGGUAUCGAACAGGAUUAGAUACCCUGGUAGUCCGCACGGUAAACGAUGGAUGCCCGCUGUUGGUCUGAAUAGGUCAGCGGCCAAGCGAAAGCAUUAAGCAUCCCACCUGGGGAGUACGCCGGCAACGGUAAAACUCAAAGGAAUUGACGG